rnacentral:tRNA from 1 species
AGUCUAGUGGACAUGGUAUCUGCCCGGUAAGCAGAACAUUGUGGGUUCGAUUCCCAU